UACGUAGGGUGCAAGCGUUGUCCGGAAUUAUUGGGCGUAAAGAGCGUGUAGGCGGCCCGAUUAGUCUGCUGUGAAAGUCCAGGGCUCAACCCUGGAAUGCCGGUGGAUACUGCCGGGCUAGAGUCCGGAAGAGGCGAGUGGAAUUCCUGGUGUAGCGGUGGAAUGCGCAGAUAUCAGGAGGAACACCAAUAGCGAAGGCAGCUCGCUGGGACGGUACUGACGCUAAGGCGCGAAAGCGUGGGGAGCAAACAGG
rnacentral:rRNA from 1 species